GACGAACGCUGGCGGCGUGCUUAACACAUGCAAGUCGAACGGAAAGGCCCUGCUUUUGUGGGGUGCUCGAGUGGCGAACGGGUGAGUAACACGUGAGUAACCUGCCCUUGACUUUGGGAUAACUUCAGGAAACUGGGGCUAAUACCGGAUAGGAGCUCCUGCUGCAUGGUGGGGGUUGGAAAGUUUCGGCGGUUGGGGAUGGACUCGCGGCUUAUCAGCUUGUUGGUGAGGUAGUGGCUUACCAAGGCUUUGACGGGUAGCCGGCCUGAGAGGGUGACCGGCCACAUUGGGACUGCGAUACGGACCAGACUCCUACGGGAGGCAGUAGUGGGGAAUAUUGCACAAUGGGCGGAAGCCUGAUGCAGCAACGCCGCGUGCGGGAUGACGGCCUUCGGGUUGUAAACCGCUUUCGAAUGUGACGAAGCGUGAGUGACGGUAAUGGGUAAAGAAGCACCGGCUAACUACGUG
rnacentral:rRNA from 1 species